AAUCCAUGGUGAUGGCAAUCACGUUCAUACUCCUUAAAAAGUUCCCAUACUUCAUAGAAAGAUUCAGUCGGCCCUUGCUGAAAGCUUGAGAUCUUUGGUCUCAGCAA
rfam:Eutrema salsugineum unplaced genomic scaffold scaffold_4, whole genome shotgun sequence.